rnacentral:rRNA from 1 species
UACGUAGGGUGCAAGCGUUGUCCGGAAUUAUUGGGCGUAAAGAGCUCGUAGGCGGUUUGUUGCGUCGGCUGUGAAAUCCCGAGGCUCAACCUCGGGUCUGCAGUCGAUACGAGCAAACUAGAGUGUUGCAGGGGAGACUGGAAUUCCUGGUGUAGCGGUGAAAUGCGCAGAUAUCAGGAGGAAUACCGGUGGCGAAGGCGGCAUCCUGGACCGGCAUUGACGCUGAGGAGCGAAAGCUAGGGGAGCAAACGGG